GGAGCACUGUAACGCUCACAGCCGACUAUUUCCUCAAUUUUACCGGGAAUGGCGUGGAGGUAAGACGCUGGUGUUCUCCCUCUGCUCCGUGGUACAAGUUCCGUCUCCUUCGUUCCCGCCGCAUUACUCGAGAGGGUUGUUCGUCCUGUCCACGGAGCUCCAUCACGGUAGAGGCUGCGGCACUCCUCUCGCCGGGCAGGUUGUUUCAUCUGUGCCUCGACCCUUCCAGCUUCCUCUCCUCGAAGACAGACCGCUCCUGAAGGUUGCCCACCAGCCGAGUUGUCCCUAGACCCUGUGGCAAGAGUGGUGGAGUGCUGCCAUGCCGCCCGUAAACCACAGCUUGUUGGAGGGUUGGAAGGUCAUGGUGUGCUCCGCCAGGCAGGACACCUGAAAUAUGAAGCAGCUGGAUCAAGAUUAUGGACAGUCAAGCUCCUUGAGGAACCUGUAUCAACCGGUGGCUGAGUGGUUAGCGUGCUGGGCUCUCAUUCAUCACGCCAUGAAGAACAUCGGUUCGAAUUCCCACGCUACCACCUGGGAUUUUUCUGUCACUGCCGACUGGCCCAAGACUACCCACAUGCUGUCCAGAAGACCACCCAUCAACCCGGACUCUAGAAGAAACCAUCCAGUGAAUCAAGAAUGAGUUCCAGGGGACAGCAUGAGCCAAGCGUAACUAGCGCCACUAUAAAAAAUUCAUUGUCCCACGACGGGCUUGGGGGAAACAUCUGGCUCCUGACGAAAGCCUAUCGGUGCUAUAGGCGGGGAGGGAACAAGAUUACGGACAGUCGAGCUCCCUGAAGAACCUAUUUCGACCAGAAGGACACACACUGGAGAGCUACUUUUCAAAUUCUGUUGUUGCAAGUUCUUCUGUACUGUCUCCGAGAUAUUUUGAAGAUUGAUCAAUAAACAUCUUGGCAAGAACA